rnacentral:rRNA from 1 species
GGAGAGUGAAGCGGCAAAAGCUCAAAUUUGAAAUCUAACGCCUCUGGUGUUCGAGUUGUAAUUUGGAGAGGCAUCUUCCGGAGGGGCCCAGCCUAUGUGCCUUGGAACAGGACGUCAUAGAGGGUGAGAAUCCCGUUCUUGGCUGGAUGUUCCCUCCUUUAUGUAGUGUCUUCUACGAGUCGAGUUGUUUGGGAAUGCAGCUCAAAAUGGGUGGUAAAUUUCAUCUAAAGCUAAAUACUGGCGAGAGACCGAUAGCGCACAAGUAGAGUGAUCGAAAGAUGAAAAGCACUUUGAAAAUAGAGUCAAAAAGUACGUGAAAUUGUUGAAAGGGAAGCGCUUGAGACCAGAGUCAGCCUUUGGCAAACAAUUGUCCUUUGGGGCGGUGCACUUGUCAUUGGUUGGGCCAGCAUCGAUUGGGACGGUGGGAUAAAGGCUUGGGAAAUGUGACUCCAUUACGGAGUGUUAUAGUCCCAGGUGUCAUGC